UACGAAGGGGGCUAGCGUUGUUCGGAAUUACUGGGCGUAAAGCGCGCGUAGGCGGUGAUCUUUGUCAGAGGUGAAAUCCUGGAGCUCAACUCCAGAACUGCCUUUGAUACUGAGGAUCUUGAGUUCGGGAGAGGUGAGUGGAACUGCGAGUGUAGAGGUGAAAUUCGUAGAUAUUCGCAAGAACACCAGUGGCGAAGGCGGCUCACUGGCCCGAUACUGACGCUGAGGCACGAAAGCGUGGGGAGCAAACAGG
rnacentral:rRNA from 1 species